AAAUUGAAGAGUUUGAUCAUGGCUCAGAUUGAACGCUGGCGGCAGGCCUAACACAUGCAAGUCGAACGGUAACAGGAAGCAGCUUGCUGCUUCGCUGACGAGUGGCGGACGGGUGAGUAAUGUCUGGGAAACUGCCUGAUGGAGGGGGAUAACUACUGGAAACGGUGGCUAAUACCGCAUAACGUCGCAAGACCAAAGAGGGGGACCUUCGGGCCUCUUGCCAUCAGAUGUGCCCAGAUGGGAUUAGCUAGUUGGUGAGGUAACGGCUCACCAAGGCGACGAUCCCUAGCUGGUCUGAGAGGAUGACCAGCCACACUGGAACUGAGACACGGUCCAGACUCCUACGGGAGGCAGCAGUGGGGAAUAUUGCA
rnacentral:rRNA from 1 species